UAGCUUUUGGUGACAUAGGAUAGACCUGGC
rnacentral:piRNA from 1 species